rnacentral:lncRNA from 1 species
CAGGAUCCUGUCCCUACGGAUGGAGCAAGCCCACCAAAUUGGAGAAAUGAGACUGUGCUCUUGCAUCUGGACUGUGUAAAUGGCAUGGAUGGAAAUGUUAAGGGCGACACUGGUGAGUCAGCCACAUGUACUGCCAACCCCUAGUCAGAGUGACCAGGCAACAGCCACAGCCUUGCUGUCUCCACCGCGGGAGCAAAGCACCUUGGAGUAGGAUGAGAAGCAUGUAAGGCAGGCUUCUUUCUGGUUUGGGUCCGAAUUCCUUGCUGACCAUUCUUAGAGGUUUCUCUGAAGCUUUGGAGGCUGUCCUGGAAUUCACUCAGUAGACCAGGCUCACCUCGAACUCAUAGAGAUCCCCCUGCCUCUGCCUCCCGAGUGCUGGGAUUAAAGGGGUGCAUCACCACUGCCUGGCUACACAACUGUUUUCUAUGAAGAUAGCAAAUGACAAUAUUUCAUUGCUACUAUUGGAAUGAAAACCCGAUUAUCAAACGGAUACAGAGACUAAACAUGUGGAGUGCUGAGAGACUCUCUCAGCUAAGACCAAAGACCUUGAAAAACAGAAAAAGGCUUGAGCAGAAGGUAGCUGUCUUGUCUCUGUGGCUGAUAGGGACUAGCUUGAAAAUAAUAUAGUUAAUCAUCCCCCAUGCUUCUGGUAAUAAACAAUUGGAAUAUUUAUCUUGAAAGCCAGGUCAAGAUGUUACUGAUAUUAGGACCUCCUACUUUUUUUUAAAGCCAGAAUU